UUAUGCUGUAAGUGAAGCUGUUUUCUGAAGCUUUCCCUGAGACUGGAGAGUGGAAGAGUCUCAGAUCUCAUCGCAAGGAUCCUGCCUUCCCUCCUGGCAUUGUUACUUCUCUUCGAAGACCAAGCAUCUGUUCUUAUCUCCCACACUAGUGUCAGUGGACAGAAGGAUGCAGCAGCCUGCCUGCCCUGCUCCUGCACUGUCAGCUCGAGGCUUAGAAAUGCACUGCAGUUAGAAUUUGUUCUGCAAAUCACGACUGAGAAAUGGCACAAUGCAGCACCAGAGGAAAUGCCUGGGGAGGUGGCAGGAGGAAGACAGGCGAAGGAAAGGUCCUGGAAGCUUGGAGAGGAAAUCCACGAAUAUAUAGUAACAAUGAGACAAUAACAGCCAAAUUGGGCAGUGCACCUUUGAGAUUUCAGUGACACUUUGGUGAUAGUAAAUUCAAUCAUCUGUAAGUAACUUUUCUCAGAGCAUUUCCUGAGUAAUUUGUGACAUUAGAAAAAAACCAUUAUCUUGGGUUUAGCAACUGUAUGGGAGAUGAUGACCAUAGGUGGGGAAGGCGAGUCUUAACCUCUCUGCUGAGAUGACAACUGCUGUACAAAAUACACAAGGAAAGAAUUCCAAGAAAAUAUGACUUUCUUCCUCAAAUCUGCUUUUGAACACCCUUAAAACAGUGUGCACGCUUUGAUUUUUCUUCCCCAGUCAGUUUCAAUCUGCCCUUGACAUUCCAUUAACUUGACAAUAUUGUUUAAUUACCGGAAAAGAGAGCCUUGUAUCUAUGGACAGACUGAUCUUCGUCAUUUGCCAAGAAAGCAUGGCUGGGUAUUAGGCCCUUGAGGGUAGAAAGAUAGAAGAGGAAACAAGGAAUGUCUGCAUCACACCAAUCUUUCUUCUGAAGAACAUCUGCAUGUGUUGUAGAAGAACUUUCUUCCUCAGAUUAGUCCUUGGAGGGCUGGGAGCUAGCAGGAAAUCUGCUGUGUUUGUCCACUGCUUGAGGACAGUGCUUUGGUGCAGUUGUGUGUGGUAUUCACUGAGAACCACGCUAGGACUGGAUAGAUGUUGUUGCAAUUAAACAGCUUAUUUAAUGAAAAAGAAUUUUUGGGGAAGCUGCAAUUGUUUGUCAGAUGGCUGUUUUGCUUUCAGAUUGAAAAGAAAUUAGAAGAAAACUCUUUUUAAGUGAAAACAUCUAAUUUUAAGUUAAACCUUUAAGCAUUGUGACUUGCAAUGGUGUCUUGUGGUAACCUAGCAAAAUUUAAAUAUUAAAAUGACUUUGG
rnacentral:lncRNA from 7 species